rnacentral:lncRNA from 1 species
AUAAUUUUUGAAUCGUUGGAGAACCUAAUUGUCAAUAUAUUGAGAAUUGGACUAAUUUGUAAUUGUUACAAAUUAGUAGUAUUAAAGUGUAAAUGUUACAAAAGAGGAUUUACUAAUAAUUAGUAAAUUAUGAGAGAAUUUAUGUGCAAAUGUUGUAUUAUUAAUUUGAUAUGAUCAAAUUGAGAUAAAGUUCAACUCGUUCCAGGAAUAAGGGUGGAAUAAUAAUUUCAGAUUUAUACCGGGUUAUACUAGCUUAUUCCAGAUACCAGAGAACUACUAUUUUGGGGUAUGAAAAACAG